GAUGAACGCUGGCGGCGUGCUUAACACAUGCAAGUCGAACGGGAUCCAAGGGGUGCUUGCACUUUUUGGUGAGAGUGGCGAACGGGUGAGUAACACGUGAGUAACCUGUCCUUUUCUUUGGGAUAAGCAUUCGAAAGGGUGUUUAAUACCUUAUGUUCUGUCUGCCUCGCAUGGGGUGGGUGGGAAAGGCUUUGGCCGGAUUUGGGUGGGCUCGCGGUCUAUCAGCUUGUUGGUGGGGUGAUGGCUUACCAAGGCUUUGACGGGUAGCCGGCCUGAGAGGGUGGUCGGUCACAUGGGGACUGAGAUACGGCCCAGACUCCUGCGGGAGGCAGCGGUGGGGGAUAUUGCACAAUGGGCGAAAGCCUGAUGCAGCGACGCCGCGUGGGGGAUGAAGGCCUUCGGGUUGUAAACUUCUUUUGCUCUGAACAAGGCAUGCCAGUGGGUGUGUUGAGUGUAGGGGUGGAUUAGCGCCGGCUAACUACGUG
rnacentral:rRNA from 1 species